rnacentral:lncRNA from 1 species
UUUCAUCUUGUUGUUCUCACUGUUGCUAGCAUUGCACUCAAAUGAAGUUGAAGCAGCACUUCCUUAAAUUUACAUCUUGUAUGUUAAUACAUGCUAGAGGGUGAGUUUGGCACAACGGUAAGGUUGUUGCUUAGUGACAAUAAGAGCAUAAGUUCAAAUCCUAGGAAACAGUCUUUCCACUUGUGGUAGAGUAGAACUGUGUACAUCUACUUUCUCCAGACUCCGCU